UACGGGGUAGGGCAGUCGUUGUCGGAAUUACUGGGCGUAAAGGGCUCGUAGGUGGCCAACUAAGUCAGACGUGAAAUCCCUCGGCUUAACCGGGGAACUGCGUCUGAUACUGGAUGGCUUGAGUUUGGGAGAGGGAUGCAGAAUUCCAGGUGUAGCGGUGAAAUGCGUAGAUAUCUGGAGGAAUACCGGUGGCGAAGGCGGCAUCCUGGACCGACAUUGACGCUGAUGAGCGAAAGCUAGGGGAGCAAACGGG
rnacentral:rRNA from 1 species